rnacentral:piRNA from 1 species
UCCAAUGAGGUCUUGAUUUAAAUUUUUCA